rnacentral:pre_miRNA from 1 species
AAUAAAUCAAUUCCUACGUUUUUAGAUUGAAUUUUUGACUCUUCGUUUUAUUUGAAAUUUUUUUAUAAUUUAUAAUUUUAUUAUUAUUACAUGAUGAAACAUGAAUAGUACUUUGCUUUUGACUAUUUUUUUUCAAUUUUCUAAUAAAUUUUUCAAAUAAAACGGAUGAUCAAACGCUCUAUAGAAAACGCAG